GGUAGCUGAAGAUAACCGUAAAGUUCCAGGUGGGGUGAUUAAUGACUCGUACUUCUCCAAGGUUGGAGUCGUACAAACCUCCGAAGAAGAUAGCUUUGGCAACGAGUAAACCCGCCCCUAAACCCAGUAAAACUAGAUGAAUACCGAGAAUAUUUGUCAUUUGAUUGGCAUCUUGCCA
rnacentral:antisense_RNA from 1 species